AGGUGCGAUCAUACCAGCACUAAUGCACCGGAUCCCAUCAGAACUCCGCAGUUAAGAGUGCUUGGGCGAGAGUAGUACUAGGAUGGGUGACCUCCUGGGAAGUCCUCGUGUUGCACUUC
rnacentral:rRNA from 1 species